UACGUAGGGUGCGAGCGUUGUCCGGAAUUAUUGGGCGUAAAGAGCUCGUAGGCGGUUUGUCACGUCGGCCGUGAAAACCUGCAGCUUAACUGUGGGCGUGCGGUCGAUACGGGCAUCACUGGAGUUCGGCAGGGGAGACUGGAAUUCCUGGUGUAGCGGUGAAAUGCGCAGAUAUCGGGAGGAACACCGGUGGCGAAGGCGGGUCUCUGGGCAGUAACUGACGCUGAGGAGCGAAAGCGUGGGGAGCGAACAGG
rnacentral:rRNA from 1 species